rnacentral:lncRNA from 1 species
GGUUUUUGUGUUUGCCUCUCUGGGAGAGUUUGUGAUCGUCAAGGUGCUGCAAGGAAAAUACUCUCUGCUGAAGCAAAAGGAAGCUGAACGAGUAGUGGUGACCGCAAUCACGCCCUGGAUCAACGAAAUCAGCGCGAAAAAACGCAAUUCAACAAUCGGCAAACCGGAUGGUUGACCCUUUGCUGAAAAACAGACUAAGGGAAAGUCAAAAUAACGUGGCAGGAAAUCGACAAGAUUUUCAGGAUCGUAUUCCCGGUACUGUUCGCUGUUUUCUGCCGUUUAUUGGGCCAUUCUUAUCGUGGGCAGCCGAUAUGUUCACCAUCCGGCCGAACACUAGAAUUAUUAUUUGCUUCUAUGCAGACC